GCCUGGUGAAACCCUAUCGACCAAUCCUCCACGCUUCUCGAGCCCCAAGUCCCUCCCCCUCUCCGCUCUCCACUCCUGCUUCCGUGCACAGCCGCCACCUCCCGGCCCCUCCCCGCUCUCUCCAUCGCGCCAGAGCAGCCCCGCCCGGAGGCCUUCCCGCCCCCUUGAGGAGCCCCCGUCCCUGCCCCGCGCUGGAGUUCAGCGGUGCGGGAGGAGCGGAUCGACGACGGCGAGGAUGAGAGAUCGAGGAGGGAAGGAGAGGGGAAACGAGGGUGGAGCGGAGGUCAAGCAUCAACAUCGGAGACGCGGUUCCGAGGCAGAGCAGGAGAGGUGACGCCGGCCAGCCGCCGCCUCACCACCGGCUGCGCUGGACCGCGGCAAGAAGGAACCACCUCUCUGCCUCUUUCUCUCUUCCUCUUUCUUUCUUACUCAUGCCUAUUACCUUUGCUGCCAAUACUGAUUCUGGAUUGGGCGCAGGAUUCAUGAUGGGUGUGGAGGAGCCGAGGAAGGGUGGGGAGGGCAUAUGUGCGAAGGAGUGCUCAGGUCAUGGUGGAAUGGAGUCGGUCAUCACUGCCUACCGCUUGGUCGUCGUGCCCCAUCCCCAAUGUUGGCCGCACAUCUUCAGCUUCACCAUCUUUCUCUAUUCUUUUACCCCUUGAUUCGCCUGGUUCUUUGAUAAUCUGAUUUCGAUUUCUCGAUUUAUGCUUUUCCUAAAUAAGAUGUGUGCAGAUUGAAUGAAGAUGACAAGAGGGAGACUGAAGAACAAGAUUUCAUGAUGCUUCGCUAUCAUUCAAAAUCAAAGGAGGAAUCAAUGGUUUGGACAACAAUGAUGACGUUUGAUUUUUUUUCUUGGUGUAGAUGGCUAAUAUGAAUAAUUAUAUUAGGACUGCUGCGAUGUACGGUAUCAUGUAAUGUUGCUUCACGGUGAUGAUUUGUUCAUGCUCCUCUUUUAGUUAAAUUAUAAAUUUUGUUGCAGUUUUGGAUGUUUACACAGUUGCUUUUGUUGCUUCCUGGAUUUUGUUAGAUGCAUUCGACCAUCAAGAAUCAGUAUUGGCAGCAAAGGUAAGAGGCACAAGUAAGAACAUCUCCUCUACUAUACCUAUUUGGCGGCUUACAGUGGUUUGUUCUCUGAAUUUGUUUUGCAAGUCAGUAACAAAGGUUACCGCGUGAUUGCGCAUCACAUGUGGUAGUGAUGAUCCUUGCUAGAUUGAAGGUGUUCCCACAUGUCAUGCGGAAUUAAGCAGUAGGCAGGAAACAAGCCACUAGCACAAGCAUAAGCGAACCAGUAUAUUCUUGAUUAGGAGUUUUCUUAGCUUCUUGCUAAUUCUUGGUUUUAUAUAUGCCCAAACCAAUGACUGCUGCUUUAAUAUAUGUACUUCAGAUUCUAGGAGAGCACCUCUUGCGAUUUACAAAUGUACUUCGGAUUCUAGCAGAGGACGACGGCUCGUGCGGUGGUGUCGGCAAACGAUGGCCUCAGUGGGUGGACGCCGACACAUGCAGCUGGUGCACGAUGGUGACUUCAUGGAGCUCAUGUUCCAAGCAACCCUCUCCUUGUUGGCUCAGGAGGUUCGCGAUCGAGCUUGGGCUGCUGAUACCUCUUCCUCGCCGCCCAACAGGAAUAGCAUGAGAUGAGCAGCCAAUCCCUCAUUCCUAGCUUUCAUACCAAGAUUCUGUGCACCGGUUCCCCUACGGUUGAAGAUGGAGAGCCAUUGGUAGUAGAGAGGGGGAAGGGAUGUAGAGACGGAAGCAGCUUCACUUGCCCCGUCUCCCACCCCAUUGCCGAUGCAGCGGUCGAAGGAGUUGCGGACCUCGCCAACAAGCCUGUGACCCUGCAUCAGGUGAGAAAAAUGCCCUGUAUUUAUUUCACAUCCUUGGGUGAUGGCUAAGCAUGGCAUGUUCUUAUUGGUUCAGGUUUGUCUUCCGGUUCUUUUCAGCGAUGGCUUGAUGUACGCACUGGAAACCUCCUAUGGCAAGUAUUUGGCAUGCCUCUGUUUGAGAGAUGAGAUGUGAAGAAAUGGCGUUCAGGGAGAAGGAGCAGGCGUUGAGGAGUGCGAGCAACAGGUUUUGGUGACUGGAUGUCUGAAACUGAAGAGAGGGAAAUUAUUAUUUGUUUCUGAUUGGUUGGAGAUCUUGUGGCUUGUUGUCCCUGGAGCAGUCGCACCCUACCAAGAAAGGAUCCCAACAGAAGGGCUUCUGGAUGCUACUACGCAAUAGCUUGGCCUUGCAAAUGCAAUGUACUUAACACAGAAGGCAAGGACGGUUGGUUUUGACACAACCAUUUAGUUAUAUCCAUCUAAGAACCAACUAGAUAACUGACUUCCAAGGAAAUCAAUAUCCAUCUAUGUGUACGGAAAACUCGAAGAGGCUGAAGAUCGACUGGAAACUAAAGCUCUCAAGUACAUGGAAGGAUCUUACAGUAGGGUGUUGCAAGACUUCCAACUGUGACCAGCUGCAGUUGGUUCAGCAAAAAUAUAAAUCUCUGGAGCAUCAACAGCAAAAAUAUAAAUCUCUAGAGCAUCAACAGAAAGAAAACGAUAGAAAAUAGACUAUUUGAGCAGCAGCUGGUGCAGUAGUCUGAGUAGAGAUUUCAUGGUAGCGAAGGAACUUUGCCGUAUAAUUGAGGCCAAAUUCACAGAAGGAUCAACACCCGAAGACAACAAUCUGAAUCGUAUUUCUCAUAGAUAAGAUAUGUUGCUAAUCAUCUUAAUGAUACAACUUUACAAUGAGACAUUGUACAAAAAACAAACAAGUAUUUUUGGAGUCUGGAUGAUGAUACCGAAGGAAUUUCUGCUUUAGGCAAUGACGGCCUACCAAUCACACCCACCAUGAAGAGUUGCUUAGACAACGAAGUCAAUUUCGAUACCGAUGGCACAUGCAGCGAUGACUUUAUCUGAUGUCCAUCACUUCAUAACCAUCUCUAGCUAUGUGCUUUGCUUGCUAAUAACAUUGUAAAUAAUCUAUUGUAAACUUCUUGGAACACUAUGUAUCAGCACUGAGUAUCCAUUUCCUUAUCUUCUAAUCAGUGUCUAAAUAAUUUUAUGUGCAUGGUUUAAACUUAUACUACUACAAUUUGCUUUAUAAAAUCAAUGUAUGUUAUUAUCAAGUGACCUCAUACUUUCUUUUGAUCUGUCAUGGUGCCAUGUAAUAAGUUAUAAGCUGAUUCUGAAGCAGUCACAUAUGCAUGGUUUGAAUACUCGGCUCGCCCUUGCCUUUUGUGCCACCAUUCCUUAUUGCAUAUAUGCUUCUUACUCUACACAUGAAUAAGUGAUUGCUAUAUAGAUGUCUGUUUCCAUGUGUUUUCCUAUUUUCUUGGAACUUGAAAGACAGUAUAUGCAUCUGUCCUACUUCAGUUUGAACAAGCUAAAAAUCCUGUUAUUCUCAAAGUUUUUAUCAUCUAUCAGUAUAUGCAGGUAUAUUGAUGGAACAUGCAUCAAUGACUCUGCCUAAUGUUGAUGACUACAUGUUUUGAUCUGACAUAUCAACAGAAGAUAAAAAACUCAACCACGAGCUGAAAGAUUAGGGCUAUCUAUAUGAUAUAUGGCUACCUAUAUAGCUUGCUUUCUAAAACCAAUGUAUAAGCUAUCAUGAACUGUGCUGACAACUUUUUUUUGGACUACCAUGCUACCUCCUUUAUGUAGAUGGAAGAGGCAAGAUCAAUCUGAAGGGCUUGGGGUACUACAAUAACUUAAUAGAUGUGUUGAUAUGGCACAGUAAAGAUUGAUUUCUCUAUCUAAAACUGAUGUAAAGAUGUUGCAGUAGUGACAAGCUUUCUUUUCCUUAUUGCAAGCUUGCGAGAUUCACUUCGAUGUCUGAUCUCGAUCAACCUAUACUUCUUGGCAUGUGUUGCAGGCAUACAAUCUCAUGUCACAAUCUACGAGUUGGAUCUCUCUCGGUUCAUUCAGGAUGAUUACAAGGACUGCUCAGCCCCACCAUGAAGAGUUGCUUAAACGAUGAAAUCGUGUUCGGUACAUAUGGGACAUCCAACAAUGACUACCUAAUACAACCACUUUUAUGUCUUGGUCUUUCUUGCUGGCAGCAGAUACAAGACUCAGCGAAAUGUUAAGAGAUAAGCACUAUAUCUAUGAUACAUCUAUGCUAAUAUAACUUGCUUGAUAAAGCCAAUGUAAGCUAUCAUCAAGUGAUCUCAUAUUUUUUUUUUGAGCUAUCAUGCUACCAUGUAAUAGAACAUACAAACAUGUGUACCUAAGUAUCUACAAUGUUUGAGAAA